UACAGAGGUCCCGAGCGUUGUUCGGAUUCACUGGGCGUAAAGGGUGCGUAGGUGGCUUUGCAAGUCUGAUGUGAAAUCUCCGGGCUUAACCCGGAAAUGGCAUUAGAAACUGUGAGGCUUGAGGCUUGGAGGGGGAACUGGAAUUCUCGGUGUAGCAGUGAAAUGCGUAGAGAUCGAGAGGAACACCAGUGGCGAAGGCGGGUCUCUGGGCCGUAACUGACGCUGAGGAGCGAAAGCAUGGGGAGCGAACAGG
rnacentral:rRNA from 1 species